rnacentral:tRNA from 1 species
UGGCGGCAUGGCCGAGUGUA